rnacentral:rRNA from 1 species
AGUGAACGCUGGCGGUAGGCCUAACACAUGCAAGUCGAACGGCAGCACAGUAAGAGCUUGCUCUUACGGGUGGCGAGUGGAGGACGGGUGAGGAAUACAGCGGAAUCUACUUUUUCGUGGGGGAUAACGUAGGGAAACUUACGCUAAUACCGCAUACGACCUACGGGUGAAAGCAGGGGAUCUUCGGACCUUGCGCGAUUGAAUGAGCCGAUGUCGGAUUAGCUAGUUGGCGGGGUAAAGGCCCACCAAGGCGACGAUCCGUAGCUGGUCUGAGAGGAUGAUCAGCCACACUGGAACUGAGACACGGUCCAGACUCCUACGGGAGGCAGCAGUGGGGAAUAUUGGACAAUGGGCGCAAGCCUGAUCCAGCCAUACCGCGUGGGUGAAGAAGGCCUUCGGGUUGUAAAGCCCUUUUGUUGGGAAAGAAAAGCAGCAGGUUAAUACCCCGCUGUUCUGACGGUACCCAAAGAAUAAGCACCGGCUAACUUCGUG